AGGCGGGACCGCGACGCGGGAUGAGAAGGAGUGGAGCAGUCGGGGCGCUCACGUCAGAGACAAGGUCAUACUAUGUUGCGCAGGCUGGUCUCGAACUCCUAGCCUUGAUCCUCCUGCUUCAGCUUCCCAAAGUGCUGGGAUUACAAGCAUGAGCCACUGUGCCCAGCUGUAUACUGGAUAUCUGAGACUUGGUACCAAAAAAAAAAAUAAUUAAGAAAAGACAGGGUCUUGCUUCGUCACCCAGGCUGAAGUGCAGUGGCACAACCAUGGCUCACUGCAGCUUCAAACUCCUGGGCUCAAGUGAUCCUUCCAACUCAACCUCCUAAGUAGCUGGGACUACAGGUGAAAUUGACCACAAAUCAAUCACUACCAUUGAUGAAGAUUGAUUCAAGAAUGGUCGUAUAAUCCAGUAAGAACUGAUGAAUGCCUGAGAGCCAAUAAAUAAAGACUUCUGGAAAAGAGAGGCAUUCAUUCUUGCCUUUGAGCUUUGCAAGGUGGUAAAGCUUGGUAAUAGUCGCCAUAUAGCUAACUUGAGUGGAGCCAUCAAGGUAACCAAGGCUGUCAGACACCCCCAGAGAGAAUCAUUCACAUGUGCAAAGGAUGAACUCAACACCCAGAAGAAGCAUCCUAGUGACAUUGGGCAGCUCUGAUUCAAGAGGAACCUGAAACUACUCACAGAAUUCAUUGAAAUUGAGCCAAUAAAUUCAUUCAUUUCUUAGGGCGGCUUCAGUUUUCUGUCAUUUGCAGCAUAAAGAUCUGGUGUAAUAAAAGUCUAGGAGGAAAUAAAAGAUUUCUUUCCUAUUCUCAACCUCCGGUUUCAUCUCCUAGAGAUAAUCACU
rnacentral:lncRNA from 10 species